UCCGUAGGUGAACCUGCGGAAGGAUCAUUACUGAAAUGUAAUAACUUCUAUUGAAAGGUUCCAGAGUAGGCGCUACAACGCCGAAAUGACCUUCUCACCCUUGUGUACUCACUAUGUUGCUUUGGCGGGUCGACCUGGUUCCGACCCAGGCGGCCGGCGCCCCCAGCCUUAACUGGCCAGGACGCCCGGCUAAGUGCCCGCCAGUAUACAAAACUCAAGAAUUCAUUUUGUGAAGUCCUGAUAUAUCAUUUAAUUGAUUAAAACUUUCAACAACGGAUCUCUUGGUUCUGGCAUCGAUGAAGAACGCAGCGAAAUGCGAUAAGUAAUGUGAAUUGCAGAAUUCAGUGAAUCAUCGAAUCUUUGAACGCACAUUGCGCCCUCUGGUAUUCCGGAGGGCAUGCCUGUUCGAGCGUCAUUUCAACCCUCAAGCUCUGCUUGGUAUUGGGCAACGUCCGCUGCCGGACGUGCCUUGAAGACCUCGGCGACGGCGUCCUAGCCUCGAGCGUAGUAGUAAAAUAUCUCGCUUUGGAGUGCUGGGCGACGGCCGCCGGACAAUCGACCUUCGGUCUAUUUUUCCAAGGUUGACCUCGGAUCAGGUAGGGAUACCCGCUGAACUUAAGCAUAUCAAUAAGCGGAGGA
rnacentral:rRNA from 2 species